rnacentral:rRNA from 1 species
UAUUAUGACCAGAGCAACUGGGAAUGAAAGCGCCUGAGCUCAUCAGAUGUUGGAAGCUAAGCAGAUUUGAGCCGAACGAUAGUGCUAUGGAUGGGUGGCCACCACAUGCAUAGCAGGUGUUAUAGACU